rnacentral:rRNA from 1 species
CACGGAGUUAGCCGGUGCUUAUUCGUAUAGUACCUUCAGCUACCCUCACGAGGGUAGGUUUAUCCCUAUACAAAAGAAGUUUACAACCCAUAGGGCCGUCGUCCUUCACGCGGGAUGGCUGGAUCAGUCUCUCACCCAUUGUCCAAUAUUCCUCACUGCUGCCUCCCGUAGGAGUCUGGUCCGUGUCUCAGUACCAGUGUGGGGGAUCACCCUCUCAGGCCCCCUAAAGAUCGUAGACUUGGUGAGCCGUUACCUCACCAACUAUCUAAUCUUGCGCGUGCCCAUCUCUAUCCACCGGUAGUUUUCAAUACCGAAUGAUGCCAUCCAGUAUAUUAUGGGGUUAUUAAUUCUUCCUUUACGAAAGGUCUUACUCCCCCAGUAUAAAGGCAGGUUGCACACGUGUUCCGCACCCGUACGCCGCUCUCAAGACUACCCGAAGAUCUCUACCGCUCGGCU